UGUGAUGGUAUUACAAGUCCAGUGAUUUCUUUGUCCUACAUCAUUUAUGGCUGUAUACAUACGUCAAUGUUUUUCUCGAUAUUACAGUGUCGGUGAAUUGAAAACUGUAUGGCCAUUGGACAAUAUGAAGACGUAUGAUGGAAUAUUAAAUGACUUGAUGUCUUGAUUUAUUAUAAAACACAAUUGAAACAGCUUAUGGUGUGUGUGUCUAUGCAGGUGUAUAAUUUGUUGUAAGUGUCUUACAAUUACUGAAGUCUGUGGCUUUUUAAUUAAACGCACUGGCAGCUUGCAGCUAUACAAUCAGAGUGGAUAGAAAACGAGUGGCCAUGGAGAUGGAGAACAACGAUCGACGCCGAUAUACAGGCGAAAACCAUACCACCGUUAUCCUACAUUAAAUAAUAUUAUGAUUAGAUAUGUUAAAAGCAAAUAGCAAAAUAUGUAUAAAAUCACAUCAGCUGCAACUCACUUCCAUAGUUCUGUAUCGAAUAGGUAUGUAUUGCAAUCCGUCUAAAAUUAAAAUUUCGAUUUCGAUCAGUGGUGGUUAUGGCCUUUUACAACAUAUCGAUAAUUUUGUAGAUCUAGUUUGCAGGCUUGCAGCAGCCGUGCUCUACGAGUAUUAGGUAUAUGCCUACAGAUUUUAAGAUGACGUCUCACCGGCAUAUAUAGGUGUGCCGUCUCCAUCUUACAAAUGGAUAACACAGCCAAUUUACGUUCAGUUGUUCUUAUUUAGCUUGGUUGGUUGUAUUUUAAUAUUAGAGUAAAUUUACCUAUCAUCAAACUUAAAGAUACCUCAUAUCAACAUAUUCUGUAGGAGUGUCUUUUUUUGAUAUUUAAAUUUUGAAGCAAGUUAUAAGCAUUUUUAUAUUUUAAAAAUAAAAUUAAUUUAAUUUAAUUUAAUUAUUAAUAUCUUGCACGCGUAUAACACGUAUAUAUAUUUACACAAUAUCAAAUAUUACAGCUAUAUGUAGAAACCUAAAACCUUUAGGAAAUCAUCAAAUAUCAGAGGAUCAAAAAUUUCAUUUAUUAUUAUUAUUAUUAUUAUUAUUAUUACCUUCAUAUUAUACCCAUUAAUCAUUAUUCAGUUUUAAUGAAUCUAAUUAAUAACCAUACUCGAAUAGGUACAAAACUUAAACCAUUCACGUACAUAAUCUACUUCAAUAAUUUGAUUUAAUACUAAUUUAUGUUUAAAAGUGUUCAUAAUGAAACUACAAUGUUAAAAUCUGAUCACUGAUCAGUAUAUUAUUAUCAUUAUUGAUUAUAAUUUCUUUAUUUCAUUAGACUUUUUAGUCAGUACCUUAAUAUGCAUAAUACGUUCUAACUGUACAUUUUAUUCGGAACCAAAUAAAAAUUAAUAUUUUUUCAAAAACUUUUUUAUACUUAAGUACUCAUGUAUGUUAAAGGAUAAUAAGUGCUUGUAUGGUCCAUAACUAUUUAGUGUACAUCUAAUACAUUUUUUAAGUUGUAUACGAAAUAUGUAGAUAAUAGGAUCAAUUAUUUUAUAAUUAAGUAAUGUAUCUAUUAAUCAAAAUGUAGAAAUUCUAUUGUAACUAACAGUAAGAUUAUAUUGUACUUUAUCCAAGUGUAAAACAUGUAUCGCAAUUUACAUUAAUUAACUAGGUAACACAUAAAAUUAUCAUAUUAAUUAAUAAUAUAAUAGCAUAUAGUUAAAGA